rnacentral:lncRNA from 1 species
GGGGUUGCUGCUUCCAAGCACCCAGAUCAUGUCUUUGACAGCCUGUGCUGCACAGCUAUAUACCUUUCUUUGGGUACCUCGGAGUUGGCAUUAAUGGGAGUGAUGGCUGUGGACCAUUAUGUGGCUGUGUGUAACCCUUUGAGGUACAACAUCAUUAUGAACAGCAGCACAUGUGUCUGGAUGGUCAUUGUAUCAUGGGUGUUUGGGUUCCUUUUUCAAAUCUGGCCAGUUUAUGCCACUUUUCAGCUUACUUUCUGCAAAUCAAAUGUGUUAGAUCAUUUUUACUGUGACUGAGGACAAUUGCUCAAGGUAUCCUGUGAGGACACUCUUUUCACAGAGUUUAUUCUUUUUCUAAUGGCUGUUUUCAUUAUCAUUGGUUCUUUUGAUCCCUACGAUUGUCUCCUACACCUACAUCAUCUCCACCAUCCUCAAGAUCCCGUUAGCCUCUGGCUGGAGGAA